GAUGGGGUAGCUCAAUUGGAUAAGAGCAGGUGUCUACGAAGCAUCAGGUUGCGGGUUCGAGUCCCGCCCUCAUCA
rnacentral:tRNA from 1 species